rnacentral:rRNA from 1 species
UACGUAGGUGGCAAGCGUUGCCCGGAUUUACUGGGCGUAAAGAGCGCGCAGGCGGUCGUGCAAGUCGCGUGUGAAAGCCCCCGGCUCAACUGGGGAGGGUCACGCGAUACUGCUCGACUCGAAGGCAGGAGAGGGAAGUGGAAUUCCCGGUGUAGUGGUGAAAUGCGUAGAUAUCGGGAGGAACACCAGUGGCGAAGGCGACUUCCUGGCCUGUUCUUGACGCUGAGGCGCGAAAGCUAGGGUAGCAAACGGG